AAUAUUGGAAAAUGGGCGAAAGCCUGAUCCAGCCAUGCAGUGUGUGUGAAGAAGGUCUUAGGUUUGUAACGCACUUUAAGUUGGGAGGAAGGGUAGUAAGCUAAUACCUUGUUGUUUCGACGUUACCGACAGAAUAAGCCCCGGAACACUUACUGCCAGCAGCCGCGGUAAUACGAAGGGUGCAAGCGUUAAUCGUAAUUACUGGGGGUAAAGCGAGCGUAGGUGGUUUGUUAAGUUGGAAGUGAAAGCCCCGGGCUCAACCUGGGAACUGCUUUCAAAACUGGCAAGCUAGAGUAUGGCAGAGGGUGGUGGAAUUUCCUGUGUAGCGGUGAAAUGCGUAGAUAUAGGAAGGAACACCAGUGGCGAAGGCGACCACCUGGGCUAAUACUGACACUGAGGUGCGAAAGCGUGGGGAGCAAA
rnacentral:rRNA from 1 species